rnacentral:rRNA from 1 species
UCCGUAGGUGGAUAAUUAAGUCAGAGGUGAAACCCUGCAGCUCAACUGUAGAAUUGCCUUUGAUACUGGUUAUCUUGAGUUAUUAUGAAGUAGUUAGAAUAUGUAGUGUAGCGGUGAAAUGCAUAGAUAUUACAUAGAAUACCAAUUGCGAAGGCAGAUUACUAAUAAUCAACUGACACUGAUGGACGAAAGCGUGGGGAGCGAACAGGAUUAGAUACCCUGGUAGUCC